rnacentral:lncRNA from 1 species
CGAGCCCACUGCCCACGGCCUUCUGUCCUCCGGAGGCGAGCCAACAGCGAGCUGCUGCAGUGUUUCGCCCCUCCUUUCCCCACGAGCUCUCGACUCCUCCUCUGUCACUCACGCGGCAAGCAGCGAGCUAGCAACUCUCAGGCGGUAGCUCUCCAGUUGGUCGUCACUUUAUUGGCAGUAGCAACACCACUAAGGUAUGCUCCUCUUUUUGUUCUUUUUCACAUCCACUGUUCAAAUCUAUAUAACUACACACACCAUAAUUAUUACUAGAUUAGAUGAUAGUUUGUAUUAUCUAGACUUCUGUUUUUACUGAUGUAAGGGAAAAAACAUGUGGGAGGUUUUUUUGCUCUUGGUUUGAUAUGUCAUUGCAGAAAGGUUUUGUUUUACAAGGAGAUGAACUGUCAUUGCUUACAAGUUCAGAUCAGAAGGUGGGUGCAUAUAGUACAGAAAAUUGUAUACCUAAUUGAUUAUUAGUCUAAACGGAAGGUUUACCAGGUAUGUGUGCAAGUCUGUGGGGAGGACAUGGAUUUUGAGAUCCAGCUCCUGCCUGUAUGUGCAAGAAAUUCAUGACCUACAUCUCUAAUAUAG